rnacentral:rRNA from 1 species
AAUGAACGUUGGCGGCGUGGAUUAGGCAUGCAAGUCGAGCGAGAACCCCGCAAGGGGGGACAGCGGCGAAAGGGACAGUAAUGUGUAGAUUAUCUGCCCUCAGGUCCGGGAUAGCUGCGGGAAACUGCAGGUAAUACCGGAUAACAUCUCCGGAUCAAAGGUGUGAUUCCGCCUGAGGAUGAGUCUGCAUCCUAUUAGCUAGUUGGUGGGGUAAUGGCCUACCAAGGCAUUGAUGGGUAGCAGGUGUGAGAGCACGACCUGCGUCAUUGGGACUGAGACACUGCCCAGACACCUACGGGUGGCUGCAGUCGAGAAUCUUCGGCAAUGGGCGCAAGCCUGACCGAGCGACGCCGCGUGUGGGAUGAAGGCCGUCGGGUUGUAAACCACUGUCAGAGGGGAUGAAAUGCAGGUGGGUUCUCCCAUCUGUUUGACAUAGCCUCAGAGGAAGGACGGGCUAAGUUCGUG